rnacentral:rRNA from 1 species
UACGGGGGGGGCAAGCGUUGUUCGGAAUUACUGGGCGUAAAGGGCGUGUAGGCGGUCCGCUAAGUCUGAUGUGAAAGCCCGGGGCUCACCCCCGGAAGGGCAUUGGAAACUGACGGACUCGAGUCCCGAAGAGGAGGGUGGAAUUCCUGGUGUAGCGGUGAAAUGCGUAGAUAUCAGGAGGAACACCGGUGGCGAAGGCGGCCCUCUGGACGGUGACUGACGCUGAGACGCGAAAGCGUGGGGAGCAAACAGG